GGAUAGUUCAGUUGGUAGAGCAUGAGACUAUUAAUCUCAGGGUCAUGGUUUCGAGACCCACGUUGGACA